AAGUCAUGCAGGUGGAGAGGAAAUGGCACAUACUGUUGACUAUCUUCUUUCUGCUCAUCACCUCGGGCCAGUGCAAAGAGAGAAGGACCCUGUUGGAUCUAAUCUUGCAGGUUAUCAGAGACAGCCAGCAGCGGGACAAACCCAUCUCCCGGCGCUGCAGCAGUGGACCCCUCACCUCAGCCCAAGACAUGAAGUUCUCCUCCCGUGAAAAGCCUUUCUAUGUUCCAAGGCUGGAUAACCGUAGACUCAUAGCUCCAACAGCCUCCCUAUCACACCAUCAAGAAUUGCCCGAAUUAAUCGUCUCUUCUGAGGGUGGACGACCUGGUCAUAGAUCUCUUCCAGCUUUCUGAAGAUUUGGAGGUAGCGCACAUAAAAUAUGGCCACACGCUGGAAGAACACCACCCUGUCCUUUUCUGGACGAAGGGGCUCAUCAGGCAGCUCCUCUUCCAGCAGACGACUCAACUCUAACUGGAGAUCGGCCCACAAUUCAUUGUAUGCCCUAAAGAAAUGGAAACAGACUUUUUGUGAAAUUGUUUUAAAAAGUCUUAAAAUGACAGUUGGGUGCCUAAAUAAACACUGUAAAAAGUU